rnacentral:rRNA from 1 species
UACGAAGGGGGCGAGCGUUGUUCGGAUUUACUGGGCGUAAAGGGCGCGUAGGCGGCUCUCCUUGUCGCGUGUGAAAGCCCCGGGCUCAACCUGGGAAUUGCGCGCGAAACGGGGGGGCUUGAGUUCGGGAGAGGAGCGUGGAAUUCCCAGUGUAGAGGUGAAAUUCGUAGAUAUUGGGAAGAACACCGGUGGCGAAGGCGGCGCUCUGGACCGAGACUGACGCUGAGACGCGAAAGCGUGGGGAGCGAACAGG